rnacentral:tRNA from 1 species
GCAGUCGUGGACGAGUGGUUAAGCCGAUGGACUAGAAAUCCAUUGGGAUCUUCCCGCGUAGGUUCGAAUCCUACCGACUGCG